UGAGCCGGCCAGGUGGCCGCGGCUCGGAUCGCGCCGGCUAGCCGGCCGGGACCGGGUCGAGGAAGGUCGGGGCUCCACAGGGCAGGGUGCUGGCUAACGGCCAGUCGGGGCGACCCGCAGGAAAGUGCCACAGAAAACAGACCGCCGAUGGCGGGCUCCGGCCCGCACAGGCAACGGUGAAACGGUGCGGUAAGAGCGCACCAGCGGUUCGGGCGACCGGAUCGGCUCGGUAAACCCCACCCGGAGCAAGGCCAAGCGUGGGACGUGGGCGGCCCGUCCGUUCCCGUCAGGGAAAGUCCCCAGGUAGGCCGCUGAGAUGGAUGGCCACCCAGGCUCCGAGAGGAGCUGGACAGAACCCCGCCUACAGGCCGGCUCACCGU
rnacentral:RNase_P_RNA from 1 species